CGCUUGAAGAGUUUGGGUGCGCCUUGAGAGGCCAAUGGAUGUGCUCGGCGCUCGGAACGCGCCUGCCAUUCAGGAGCCUCCUCAUCCGGACUCCAUCGACUCGCUCGGCGCUCCUCCUCGAGUCCCUGGGCGCCUGGUUGAGGCGCUGGGCGCCCCUCCCCCCUCCCUGCCCGCCUGCCCCCUUUGACGGAAGGAUGCCCCGGGCGCGCGCUGUGUCCACUCGAGCCUCUCGGCGCUCGCCUCCCCGCGCCUGUCUCCUGGCAGAGGGACCGGAAGUGGCUCGGGGAGGGAAGGGGAGGGGGGCUCGCUCCCUCCUCCUCAGGUGAAGACGCUGUGGAUGGAGCCGCCGCCGAAGACGCCGCCGCUUCGGAGCCAUUGAGCCCCCUCCAGAGGCUGGGCCGGGCGGGGGGGCCCUCCCUCCCCAACGCGGCCUGGAGCCCCUUCGGCUCAGUGUUAAUAUCAAGCCAAUACAGAGUGUACGGCACCAGGUUUUCCUUGCUGGUUCUGGAGCACUUCCGGAGAAGCUGUUUUGGAUUAGUUCUCCAUUGUAAAAUGCAGGGUGUCCUAAAGAUGGAUAUAGAGGACUGCAAUGGACGCUCUUACAUAUCUGGUAGUGGAGAUUCCUCUUUGGAAAAGGAGUUCACCUCCACCAUUGUGGGGCCAACAGUGAGCACACCAAACAGCCAACACUCCUCCCCAAGCCGCUCCCUUAGUGGUGAGUAUUUAAUCUUGGGAUUCCAAUAAUUCACCCUGAAAAUGCAUUAUACUACGUUUUGACUGGGC
rnacentral:lncRNA from 11 species